rnacentral:sRNA from 1 species
GUGAGUGAAGAUAUGAUCUGUGAGAUGAGCCUGUUCAAGUUGGUGUAGGUUGGCCUCUCGAUGUCAAGGGAUCUCCGGCAUAUGUCAUAGAUAGCCUCAUUGUCUAGGAGAACUGCCACAUCAGUGUGCUCAAGCAAGGAGUGGGUGGAGAGGACACUGUUGUAUGGUUCUACAACAGCUUUAUACCUGGGGGGAAGGGUAAAUUGUGAAGCCAAGCUUGGACUUCUUUCCAUAAUCAACAGAGAGACGCUCCAACAGAAGAGAACCAAGUCCUGAUCCAGUUCCACCACCAACAGCAUUGAACACCAAGAAUCCCUGCAGCCCAGUGCAGUUGUCUGCCAACUUGCGCACACGGUCCAGGCAUAGAUCUACGAUCUCCUUUCCAACUGUGUAAUGGCCACGGGCAAAGUUGUUAGCGGCAUCCUCCUUCCCAGAGAUGAGCUGCUCAGGGUGGAAGAGCUGACGGUACGACCCAGUGCGCACCUCGUCGAUGACAG